rnacentral:rRNA from 1 species
UACGGAGGGUGCGAGCGUUAUCCGGAUUUACUGGGUUUAAAGGGUGUGUAGGCGGGCUAUUAAGUCAGCGGUGAAAUCUUCGGGCUCAACCCGGAAACUGCCAUUGAUACUAUUAGUCUUGAAUACUGUGGAGGUAUGCGGAAUGUGUCAUGUAGCGGUGAAAUGCUUAGAGAUGACACAGAACACCGAUUGCGAAAGGCAGCGUACUACACAGUUUAUUUGACGCUGAGGCACGAAAAGCGUGGGGGAUCAAACAGGAUU